UUCCUGCAACAAACAUCAUGAC
rnacentral:misc_RNA from 1 species